rnacentral:rRNA from 1 species
UACGAAGGGGGCUAGCGUUGCUCGGAAUCACUGGGCGUAAAGGGUGCGUAGGCGGGUCUUUAAGUCAGGGGUGAAAUCCUGGAGCUCAACGUCCAGAACUGCCUUUGAUACUGAGAUCUUGAGUUCGGGAGAGGUGAGUGGAACUGCGAGUGUAGAGGUGAAAUUCGUAGAUAUUCGGCGGAACACCAGUGGCGAAGGCGACUCACUGGCCCGAUACUGACGCUGAGGCGCGAAAGCGUGGGGGAGCAAACAGG